GACGAACGCUGGCGGCGUGCCUAAUACAUGCAAGUAGAACGCUAAAGGAGGAGCUUGCUUCUCUGGAUGAGUUGCGAACGGGUGAGUAACGCGUAGGUAACCUGCCUGGUAGCGGGGGAUAACUAUUGGAAACGAUAGCUAAUACCGCAUAAUAGUAGUUGUUGCAUGACAACUGUUUGAAAGGUGCAAUUGCAUCACUACCAGAUGGACCUGCGUUGUAUUAGCUAGUUGGUGGGGUAACGGCUCACCAAGGCGACGAUACAUAGCCGACCUGAGAGGGUGAUCGGCCACACUGGGACUGAGACACGGCCCAGACUCCUACGGGAGGCAGCAGUAGGGAAUCUUCGGCAAUGGACGGAAGUCUGACCGAGCAACGCCGCGUGAGUGAAGAAGGUUUUCGGAUCGUAAAGCUCUGUUGUAAGAGAAGAACGAGUGUGAGAGUGGAAAGUUCACACUGAGACGGACUAACCAGAAAGGACGCA
rnacentral:rRNA from 1 species